rnacentral:rRNA from 1 species
CAGUCGCCACGGUAAAACGAAGGGUGCAAGCGUUACUCGGAAUUACUGGGCGUAAAGCGUGCGUAGGUGGUGGUUUAAGUCCGUUGUGAAAGCCCUGGGCUCAACCUGGGAAUUGCAGUGGAUACUGGGUCACUAGAGUGUGGUAGAGGAUAGUGGAAUUUCCGGUGUAGCAGUGAAAUGCGUAGAGAUCGGAAGGAACAUCUGUGGCGAAGGCGACUAUCUGGGCCAACACUGACACUGAGGCACGAAAGCGUGGGGAGCAAACAGGAUUAGAUACCCGCGUAGUCCCUGUCUCUUAUAC